AGGAUAAACGCUGGCGGCGUGCCUAACACAUGCAAGUCGAACGUCUCUUCUUUCGGGAAGAGGAGUAGCGGACGGGUGAGGAACACGUGGGAACCUGCCCUACAGUGAGGAAUACCGGCGAGAAAUCGCCGACAAGACCGCAUAGCCCUCUCUGGUGAGAGCCAGAGAAGGAAAGCUUCGCAAGAGGCGCUGGAGGAGGGGCCUGCGUCCGAUUAGCUAGUUGGUGGGGUAAGAGCCUACCAAGGCGCCGAUCGGUAGCUGGUCUGAGAGGACGAUCAGCCACACUGGGAUUGAGAACGGCCCAGACUCCUACGGGGGGCAGCAGUGAGGAAUUUUCGGCAAUGGGGGAAACCCUGACCGAGCAACGCCGCGUGCAGGAAGACGGCCUUCGGGUUGUAAACUGCUUUUCUUUGGGACGAGCAAGGACGGUACCAGAGGAAUCAGCCCGGCUCACUACGUGCCAGCAGCCGCGU
rnacentral:rRNA from 1 species